rnacentral:rRNA from 1 species
UGCGAGUGAGCGGGAAAGCUCAAAUUUAAAAUCUGGCGGUCUUCGGCCGUCCGAGUUGUAAUCUGGAGAAGCGUCUUCCGCGCUGGACCGUGUACAAGUCUCUUGGAACAGAGCGUCAUAGAGGGUGAGAAUCCCGUCUUUGACACGGACUACCAGUGCUUUGUGAUGCGCUCUCGAUGAGUCGAGUUGUUUGGGAAUGCAGCUCAAAAUGGGUGGUAAAUUCCAUCUAAAGCUAAAUAUUGGCGAGAGACCGAUAGCGAACAAGUACCGUGAGGGAAAGAUGAAAAGCACUUUGGAAAGAGAGUUAAACAGUACGUGAAAUUGCUGAAAGGGAAACGCUUGAAGUCAGUCGCGUUUGCUAGAACUCAGCCUUGCUUCUGUGAGGUGCACUUUCUAGUGAACGGGCCAGCAUCAGUUUCGGCUGCCGGACAAAGGCCUCGGGAAUGUGGCACCUUCGGGUGUGUUAUAGCCCUUGGUCGCAUACGGUGGCUGGGACUGAGGAUCUCAGCACGCCUUCAUGGCGGGGGUUCGCCCACCUUCGUGCUUAGGAUGCUGGCGUAAUGGCUUUAAACGACCCG